rnacentral:rRNA from 1 species
CGUGUAGGCGGGUCUGUAAGUCAGAUGUGAAAUGCCGCAGCUUAACUGCGGAGCUGCAUUUGAAACUGCGGAUCUUGAGUGAUGGAGAGGUAAACGGAAUUCCCGGUGUAGCGGUGAAAUGCGUAGAGAUCGGGAGGAACACCAGUGGCGAAGGCGGUUUACUGGACAUUAACUGACGCUGAGGCGCGAAAGCGUGGGGAGCAAACAGGAUUAGAUACCCUGGUAGUCCACGCUGUAAACGAUGGAUACUAGGUGUGGGGGGACUGACCCCUUCCGUGCCGGAGUUAACACAAUAAGUAUCCCACCUGGGGAGUACGGUCGCAAGAUUAAA